GUGGACGUGGUGUAGGGUUAUCACGCUUCAUUUGCAUUGAAGAGGUCACGAGUUCAACUCUCGUCGUCUCCA
rnacentral:tRNA from 1 species